CACUGAGAAGCUAAAUACUAAGCAUUAACCUUUUAAGUUAAAGACUGAGAGUUUAAUCUCUCCUCAAUGA